UACGGAGGGUGCAAGCGUUGUUCGGAAUUAUUGGGCGUAAAGGGCGCGUAGGCGGUUGUGAUAGUCAGAUGUGAAAUCCUCCGGCUUAACUGGAGAACUGCAUCUGAAACUUCAUAGCUAGAGUACAGGAGAGGGAAACGGAAUUCCCGGUGUAGAGGUGGAAUUCGUAGAUAUCGGGAGGAACACCAGUGGCGAAGGCGGUUUCCUGGCCUGAUACUGACGCUGAGGCGAGAAAGCGUGGGGAGCGAACAGGAUUAGAUACCCUGGAGU
rnacentral:rRNA from 1 species